rnacentral:rRNA from 1 species
GAAUCAGUGUGUGUGUUAGUGGAAGCGUCUGGAAAGGCGCGCGAUACAGGGUGACAGCCCCGUACACAAAAAUGCACAUGCUGUGAGCUCGAUGAGUAGGGCGGGACACGUGGUAUCCUGUCUGAAUAUGGGGGGACCAUCCUCCAAGGCUAAAUACUCCUGACUGACCGAUAGUGAACCAGUACCGUGAGGGAAAGGCGAAAAGAACCCCGGCGAGGGGAGUGAAAAAGAACCUGAAACCGUGUACGUACAAGCAGUGGGAGCACGCUUAGGCGUGUGACUGCGUACCUUUUGUAUAAUGGGUCAGCGACUUAUAUUCUGUAGCAAGGUUAACCGAAUAGGGGAGCCGAAGGGAAACCGAGUCUUAACUGGGCGUUAAGUUGCAGGGUAUAGACCCGAAACCCGGUGAUCUAGCCAUGGGCAGGUUGAAGGUUGGGUAACACUAACUGGAGGACCGAACCGACUAAUGUUGAAAAAUUAGCGGAUGACUUGUGGCUGGGGGUGAAAGGCCAAUCAAACCGGGAGAUAGCUGGUUCUCCCCGAAAGCU